GGGCUGAGUCCUGGCUCCAGUGCCCCCAGCUGCCACUGCCUUGGUUUCCCAGCCCCUGGGGCUCUGUUUCUGGCUCUGUCGAGGGGGUGUGAGUGACAGGAGCACCUGCCUCCAAGGAAGCCCCCGGAACAGCACCAGACUCCCCUGGCUGCUGGUAGGGCUGGUCCUUAGAGGCCUUGAUGUCUGGCGGGGUUCUGGGAGCUGUCAGCCAUCUGUGGGUCCUGGGCUGUGGGGGAGCUGGCUCCUUCCUGUGACCCUCACUGGCCUUUCCUUUGUCCUUGCCCCUUCUCCUUGUCUCUCUGUCCCUCCCCUGUUGGAGGCCUCAAACCUGAUUUGGGGCUCUCUCUCCCCUUCUCUGUCCUCUGUUCCUAUCCAGUCCAGGUGGUCGCUGUUCCUCCCCUGACCUGGGAGCCCCGCGGUCAGAGCCCUGGGCGUCAAGCUUCUGGGAGCAGAUGCCAGGACCUGGCUCAGGGCUCAGGUUCAGAGACAACUCUUUCCCGGGGCUGAAGGAAGCUCCUUAGCCCAGGUCCAUGGAGUGGAGUCCAUCUGAGGACAGCAUUUUCACAGAGAAAUAUGUUCACGAGUCAGGCAGCUCCCAGAACUGGAGCAGGUGCUGAGGACCCCACUCCAUGACAGGUGUGAGAGCUUUCCUGGACAACAGGAAGUGAGGUGGGGAGAUCAGCACCAGGGCUCCAGUUCAGUCCCCACACCUGCCAGUCGGGUACCUCUUAACUGGUUAAUUGCUCACUGCCUCAUUAAUGAACUGGAUACCGACACUAGUGCCACCAGCGACAACACAGUGCCUGGAUGAAGCUGUUUAGGUUGGGUCUUGGGCCCAGUCAAGGUCCUGGCCAAGUCCGUGAUUCCAGUGAAUUUAUUUAGCUCCUGGUAAGGCUUCCCGAGACGCUGUUCUUCCUUUUAGAGAUAGAAGAGGUGGCUGGGUGAGCUUUUAAUUGAAUUAUGAAUGUCCGAGCGCAAAGCCGUGUUGGAGGAUCAAAGUUCGCGACUCCUUGUUGACCCUGGCCGAUGACCUGUGACAAAAAGAACUUCCUUAGGCCAAUUACAUUGCGUGGUGUUUGAGAAGAGCAUAAAAUACAAAUGAUACAAGAAUCGUCAGCUCCCAGAACUGGAGCCGGUUCUGAGGUCUCUAGUAAAUGACAGGUGCACAGCAUUACUGGAAACCGGGACGUGCGGUCCAGAAAUCAGCACCAUGCUCCAGUUCAGUCCCCACACCUGCCGGUCGGUCACAGCUCAACUAGCUAAUUGCUCACAGCCUAAUUAGUAAACUCGAUAGUGGGCCUUUUGCAGCCCACCACAGCACAGCGG
rnacentral:lncRNA from 1 species